rnacentral:misc_RNA from 1 species
UCGCUUGUAUUACGAGUUACAAUUUUCUAUGGAAUUUUUUUAAACAUUGGUAAAGGCGAGAAGCGGUUUUACAUGAUGGUUGCUUAUUUUUAAAUUCUAUAAUAUUCUACACUCUAAUAUAAAUAACUCUUAAUAUAUAUAAAUGUCAUUGUGGAAUCGAAAUUGAAACAAAAACUGUAUCUAUUUAUUUAUUUUUUGAUUACUCUAUAAUCCGCCUUGAUUUGAGUAAAUACUAUCCAUCCAGGACAUUGGUGAACAUUAAAAAAAAAAAAGAAUUGAGUUUGAAAAUUAUCUGUUUGUUUGACGAAAACUAAUUGAACUAUUUAUUUAUCGUCAGUUUUAACCUACAUUGUCCAGAACUUACAUAGGUUUUAAAACAACCCUGUCUCAUAUUAACGGAACACUAGAUUUAAUAUCAACUCGAGCACAACUGUACGUAAUAUAUUUAAUAAAAAAAAAAAA